AGCUUUGCGCAGGGGCAGUAUCGUAGCCAAUGAGGUUUAUCCGAGGCGCGAUUAUUGCUAAUUGAAAAUACAAAAUUUGUUAUGCAUAGCUUCCUCAAUAUAACACAACACUAAGAUACAAUUAUCUUUUAUAUGACAACAGAAAACUGAACAUGUUUGGCCUGCUAUCCAGAAAGC
rnacentral:snRNA from 1 species